UCCUCGUUGGUCUAGUGGUCAUGAUUUCCGCUUGUCAAGCUGUACAGCUCCGCAAGCGCGGGAGACCUGGGUUCGAUUCCCAGACGGGGAG
rnacentral:tRNA from 1 species